GUUGCUGCAUUUUUUUUAGCUUAGUGAACUCUCUUGCGUGUUUCUAUCUAUUUGAAAAUGCAGAGGCGCUACUUGGGCCCGUGUAUCAAUAUGGUUAGCCAUAGGAGCGGUAGUUUAUCUUUUCUAUGGCCGGAAGCACAGCUCAUUGCGAUAUGCAGUUUAUGUUCCAGCAGCCCAUGUUGAUGAAAUCUAUCAAAGCUCGAGAAACUCUCGGUCGUAAUCCUAUGCGACCAUUGGGGUUUAAGACUCUCCAAGUUCAGGUUUCUUAUACGAUGAAGGAACUGAUGAAGUAGAACUUUUUAGCCUAAACUUGGGCAGCCAGUUUGUGUGGAUAAAGAUAUCGUCUCGUGUUUCACAUCUCAGAAACACUCAUAAACUAUUCUAAUACGUCAUCUUUUACGACCUCGAAAGUGGACAAGGAAGAAAGUAAAAAUGAAAAUUUGUAAAUAUAUUUUUACGUUAGUUAGUUCGUUUGAUCUGUCUAUACGAUAUAUAGUACUUACGUAACAAUUAUGUGUGAUCUUGAAGUUGAUUGAACUUUUUUAGGAACUCUAUUAUGAAUUUCAGUCAUUGUGUUGUUUUUGUUAAUAUUCCCUUUUAUCAUGAGAAUAACAGUCAAUUUAUCACAUUUGAUGUGUUAA
rnacentral:lncRNA from 1 species